rnacentral:rRNA from 1 species
CCUACGGGGGGCAGCAGUGAGGAAUAUUGGUCAAUGGGCGCUAGCCUGAACCAGCCAAGUCGCGUGAGGGAUGACGGCCCUAUGGGUUGUAAACCUCUUUUGUCAGGGAGCAAAGGGCGCUACGUGUAGCGUUUUGCAAGUACCUUAAGAAAAAGGAUCGGCUAACUCCGUGCCAGCAGCCGCGGUAAUACGGAGGAUUCGAGCGUUAUCCGGAUUUAUUGGGUUUAAAGGGGGCGAAGGCGGAAUGUAAAGUCAGUGGUAAAAUUUCGGGGCUCAACCUCGUCAUGCCGUUGAUACUGGCGUUCUUGAGUGAGCGAGAAGUAUGCGGAAUGCGUGGUGUAGCGGUGAAAUGCAUAGAUAUCACGCAGAACUCCGAUUGCGAAGGCAGCAUACCGGCGCUCAACUGACGCUGAUGCACGAAAGCGUGGGUAUCGAACAGGAUUAGAUACCCGGGUAGUC